AUACCCACAGGCCUGGUCCCAGGUCCCCUGGAGUCUGAGUACCUGAGUGGGCUGGGUCCCUCUGCCCUCUCUCCUUCCUGCCUCUGAGGCCUCCACAGCACCCUCAAAGGCUGCUCACAUGAGAUCCAGCAAAGGAGCAGGCUGGCAGGAUGCAGAAAGGGAGGCUGCAGCUGCAUACUGCCUGGCUGACCCAGAUGGAGCCAGCAGCAGCCAUGGCCACAAAGGCUGCACACACCAUGAGGACAGGACUAGAUUCUCUAACACCUGGAACUGCCAGCAGGCAUGUGCAAGGCAGGCCUUCUGCACUCCCAGGCUGGCCUCACAGAGGAGCCGGGAUGUCCGCUUGCCGGUGCGGGCCGUGAAGGGCACCGUCUUGAUCACUGAGUGGGGGUGGGGCAGGUGAAGGGGAGUAGAGAAAGGAAAAAGGAAAGAAAAACAGAAAAGGUAGCAAGAAGCAGUGUGGCAGCCAGUCCCCCAGAGGAUAGCGCAUUGGGUCAGAAGAAAGCAUAGAAGGACAGACUGAGGAUAAGACCAAGGCCUGGCCAAGCCCUUACCUGUGAUGAUGUCUUCAAUGGCCCCAUCACGGUCGCUCUCAUAAAUGAGUGGCUCCUUCUGCUGCCUCCGUUUCAGCUCAGAGAUGAGGUCCAUCUGUGGCCGCCGGGCCUUUGGCGGUGACUAGGGGGAAUUUAUAGCUCCA
rnacentral:lncRNA from 1 species